AUUGGCGUGUCUGCAUGGCGUCGUCCACCACUGGGCCUUUGCACAUGGGGACCUUUUUCAGCAUCAUGGGGCGUCGGUAUAAAAGGAGGCGCAAGAAGCGCUCUGAGAGGAAAGCAGAAACAGUCUCCGCCAGUCAAGAAACCCUCAAAAGUAUUUUGCCAUGGAUAUAGAAGAUGAAGAAAACAUGAUUCCAGCAGCACUGAUGUGAAGGAAAACCGCAAUCUGGACAACGUG
rnacentral:lncRNA from 1 species